GCGGGAAUAGCUCAGUGGUAGAGCACAACCUUGCCAAGGUUGGGGUCGCGAGUUCGAGCCUCGUUUCCCGCU
rfam:Sodalis glossinidius str. 'morsitans' DNA, complete genome.